rnacentral:piRNA from 1 species
UGUGAGGUGGAAUUAGGCUUGAGUGUAU